rnacentral:rRNA from 1 species
CCUGAUGCAGCGACGCCGCGUGGAGGAAGAAGGUUUUCGGAUUGUAAACUCCUGUCGUUAGGGACGAUAAUGACGGUACCUAACAAGAAAGCACCGGCUAACUACGUGCCAGCAGCCGCGGUAAAACGUAGGGUGCAAGCGUUGUCCGGAAUUACUGGGUGUAAAGGGAGCGCAGGCGGACCGGCAAGUUGGAAGUGAAACCUCUGGGCUCAACCCAUAAACUGCUUUCAAAACUGUUUUUCUUGAGUAGUGCAGAGGUAGGCGGAAUUCCCGGUGUAGCGGUGGAAUGCGUAGAUAUCGGGAGGAACACCAGUGGCGAAGGCGACCUACUGGGCACCAACUGACGCUGAGGCUCGAAAG